rnacentral:misc_RNA from 1 species
CAGAGUGUAAAAACUCCCAAACCCACUGUGAACAUACCUCGCGUUGCCUCGGCGGGCCGCCCCGCGUCUCCGGGCGCGGGGUCCGCCGGCGGCCCACGAAAACUCUUGUCGGUCACGUUUGGCAUCUCUGAACGCAAACCAAAAAUCAGUUA